rfam:Schistosoma margrebowiei strain Zambia genome assembly, scaffold: SMRZ_contig0000719
AUCCAGCAGACGAUUCCCAAAUAGGACGAAACGCUCAUCAUGGAU